AAAUGUACUGUGUACUACUGUGAAGCCAAUAUGGAACCACUACACUUCAAUAUGAACGCUACAACCCAGCAAAAGCCUAAGGUAAUGAUGAAUGAGGAGCAAGAAGGUAUAGGGGAGGAUGGGUGAAGGGACGAUAAUUUCUUGCUCUGUACCAGUUGUGCAUUUACAAGGCUACAUGUUAAAUAUGUGAAUUGUAAAAUAUGAAUAUUAUAUGACAAGAAUGAAGAACUGUGGGGAAGUAUAUGUUAAUGUGAUUGAUGUAAAUAUUUCAAAUUGUCAAUGGAACCAUAACAUUGUACCCCAUAAUUAAUGUACACAUAUCAGAUUUAAUUUAAAAAAUGAUAAAGAAAUAUAGAAAAAAGACAGGAAGAAAGAAAAAAAGAAGAAAGGAUGAAAGGUUUGAAGGAAGUAAAAGGAAAACAAGAAAGGAGAAAGGAAAGCAAAUGAAUGACAAGAAAAAUUAAAAGGUAAGGCAAGGUAAGUUAAUGAAAGAAAAGGGAAGCAAAGGGAGGGAUGGCAAAAGAAGGAAAAUAAAAAGACAAAAGGAAAGACAGGAAGAAACAAGAAAGGAUGGAAGGUUGGAAGGAAGGAAAAGGAAGAAAAGAAAGGAAAAAAGAAAGUAAAGAAAUGACAGGAAAAUUACAAGGUAAGGGAAGGUAAGUAAAUGAAAGAAAAGGGAAGCAAAUGGAGGGAUGGGAAAAGAAGGAAAAUAAAGAAAAAGACAAAAGGAAAGACAAAGGAAGAAAGAAGAAAGGAUGGAAGGUUGGAAGGAAGAAAAAGGAUGAAAAGAAUUGAAAAACAAAAGCAAAGGAAUGAAAAGAAAAAAGCAAACUAAGGUAAGGCAAGGUAAGUCAAAGAAAGGGAAGGGAAGACAAAGGAAGCAGAGGGAAAGGAUAGGAAGGAAAGGGAAAGGAAGAUAAAAGACAG